GUCCAACUGACGAGUCCUAAACAGGAUGAAACGCUCAUCUUGAAU
rnacentral:hammerhead_ribozyme from 1 species